UACGAACCGUCCAAACGUUAUUCGGAAUUACUGGGCGUAAAGCGUGCGCAGGCGGUUUUGUAAGACAGAUGUGAAAUCCCCGGGCUUAAACUGGGAACUGCCUUUGUGACUGCAAGGCUAGAGUACGGCAGAGGGGGGUAGAAUUCCACGUGUAGCAGUGAAAUGCGUAGAUAUGUGGAGGAAUACCGAUGGCGAAGGCAGCCCCCUGGGUCGAUACUGACGCUCAUGCACGAAAGCGUGGGGAGCAAACAGG
rnacentral:rRNA from 1 species